rnacentral:rRNA from 1 species
CCUACGGGUGGCAGCAGUGGGGAAUAUUGCGCAAUGGGCGAAAGCCUGACGCAGCGACGCCGCGUGAGGGAUGAAGGUCUUCGGAUCGUAAACCUCUGUCAGCAGGGAAGAACGGUCACUGUGCUAAUCAGCAGUGAAUUGACGGUACCUGCAAAGGAAGCACCGGCUAACUCCGUGCCAGCAGCCGCGGUAAUACGGAGGGUGCGAGCGUUAAUUGGAAUUACUGGGCGUAAAGCGCUUGUAGGCGGUAUGUCAAGUCAAGGGUGAAAUCCCCGCGCUCAACGUGGGAACUGCUUUUGAAACUGGCAAACUGGAGUGUGUGAGAGGAUAGUGGAAUUCCAGGUGUAGGAGUGAAAUGCGUAGAUAUCUGGAGGAACAUCAGUGGCGAAGGCGACUAUCUGGCACAUAACUGACGCUGAGGAGCGAAGGCGUGGGUAGCAAACAGGAUUAGAUACCCGUGUAGUC